rnacentral:lncRNA from 1 species
GUUUGGAUUCUCUCUGCCUGACCCAAGGCAGACAUCCGUUCCCUCUGGCCGUUGGUACUCCUGGUUCUCAGGGAUUCAGACUCUGACUGGCGUCCACUCCAUUGGAUCCCGGCCCUCAGGUCUUGGAACUUGCACUGCCAGCAUUCCUGGGUGUCCGGCUUGCGGACAGCAGAUCGUGGGACUUCUCAGCCUCCAGAAUUGCACGAAGUGUCUCCUUACGAAUCUCUUCCUAUGUACGUGUAUCCUAUUGGCUCUGUUUCUCUGCAGAACCCUGACUAAUGCAAACCCUCUCAUCUCACAGCAGUGCAUGUACAAACCCACUCACAUCUUCCCCUCCCCUGCCUUCCCUACCGCAAGUUCCCUCCGACCAGAGGCCAAUCCCGCUGCGGUGCCCCGGACCCACCCUCUGCACCAGCCUUCCUUCUUGUUUUCUAAAAGCUCGCGUUUUCUGUGGGCUUCCAAGGCUGCUCUUCAGUAUCUUUACGUCAGAGCCUCCCAGCUCCUUCCCCUCUCUCAAAAGCGUUUUCACAGGGACUGUAGGCUCCUUCCCUCCCCUUGAUAACCAAGUACUAUGCCCCAGGUUCUUACCUCACAGCCCAAAGUUGUCCUAAGUCGGGCCCUGACCUGAGUGUCUCCAAAUCCAGCAGGCCGUCUGCUCUCCUGUGACAUGCAGCAUCCCACGGCUUUUCCUAAAAGACCCCCUCUGUCAGCUUUGCUGUCACCCACCCUCCAGGGCUCUCUCUUACAGGUCUGCCCUUUGCUAGCAUCUUAGCCUCUCCACCUCCCGGUGGUCCUGUCUGCGAUGGACCCCCUCCAUGUGUCCCAAGGCCCUCCAAAGGAACAGGUGCUGGCUGACCCUGCCCUGUGGGAGGUGAUGGACAGGCACACAGGGGGAGCCCCGCAAACAAGGGGCCCUGUUACAGCAGAGUGGGAGAGCGCCUGGUAGGACGCCAAGCACCGUGGCCGGGCUGCAGAGAGGCCUGCGGGACUUGUAGACAAGACGUCAUGGAGAAGGCGGAGCUCCCAUGGGCCUUGCAGGUUUCACCAAGCAAGAGCGGAGAAGACACAGGCUGGACAAAGGAAGGUGGACGGGACAGCCAGCCGUGCAGCAGCCUCACAGGACACAGCUGUCGCUUCCCCUGGCACCUAAGCUUGCCUGAAAGUUGGGAAUAUGAUGACUCACCGUAUUUGGCAGCUCGUAUGCGUCUAUAUUUCAAGACAUUCAUGCUCAUGCUCAUUAUAAUUAGGGCUGGAGAAUCAGCACAGUCAACUGCCAAAAUCAAGUGCACAAUUCAUAUCAACCUUUCAGACCAGACAGAGAGCACCAGCUGACACUCAUUCCUCCAGCACCAGGAAAUGCCACAGCAGAAGAGAGUCUUCAAGAUGGGCCAGACCCACUUCUGCAGCAUGGUUGCUGGGAGCCUGCACAGGCCAGGCAUUUCUCUACAGGUGCAAUUGAGAACUCACUGAGGCAAAAGGGCCUUUGUCAACCCACAGAAGUGACAAGUCCAAGUGCAGACCAGGCUUCAGGUAUGGCUUGAUGGAGGCACACACGCUGUCUUUCCAGCUUCCAGUGUAGGGUGUCUGGGUGCCCUCUACUGACAAGAUGGUAGCAGGAGCCAGAGACUUUCUGUCCUCUCAGUGACAAGUUCAGAGGGAAAGCCAGGGCCCUGGCCAACAUUUCCGUGUGUCCCCUCUGUGUACCCAGUCCUCACGUCCAUCUCUGUGUGGCUGGAGGAGUGUAAUGUCCAGAGCUGCUCGGGUCUAAAUCACUCAGGCCUCACCUGCCAGGAAAGGUGUUUCCCCAGCUUCAGGGACCAGAAGUGGGGGGAAGGAUGUCCCAGGAAAAUGUAGGUGGAUGUGUCCAGCAAAGAGUAACCAGACACUGGGGCAGCAAGGACCUAGGUUCACCCCAGAAGGCUGGCUUCCACCCAACAAAGACAUCACCAUGGGAGCUAGAGACAGACCGGGAGGAGGUGAGAGGACAGAGCCCAGGGUCCUUGCACGGCCCAGGCGGAAGGGGGCACUGAGGGGACAAGGGCAGAGAACUGGGCAGCCUAGGGCAGGCUCACCCUCAGACAGGCUGGCAGAAAGGGGUUGCCAGGCUGGCAGAAGAGGGGUCACCAGCAAAGCAGGAGUGGGCAGAGGCAAGAGGCACAGAAGGCAGAGGCCGUUCUGCCGCAGUGCAGCAUCCGAUCAGCGGCUGGUCAGCAGCUGGAGGCUACUCUCCUCUACUCCACAGGUCCAGUUGCUCUUCAGAACUCAAAAUCCCAUCUCUGCAGGUCUCAGCCAAUCCUGCUCCCGCCUGUUUUUAUUUCCUGCCCAGAGCAAGUACAGAACCGAGGGCCAUCGAUGGGCGAGAAAUCACUGUGCCUCCAAGCUGUAUUUUUCACCGUAACAAGUCAUUACUUCUGUGCCCGGAGUCAUUUCUCAGGAUCUUAAUGCAUUCGUUUAUCAAUCAAUACUUAACUGAUGUCUAUAAAGCAUGUUCAAAAUCAGAGGUGAGAGCAGCUCACCAGGUACCGACUUCGUGUCUGGAGCCACCUUGUUAAGGAGCAACCCUUGGCACGGGUCCCGUGUCUGCACCCUCGGGAGCUCUGGGUGGGUGCACUGGGGUCCUCACAGCCCUUCCCACCACCGCAGAUGGAAAUCUCUACCUGGCAGAGGGGCUCAGUCGUCCCCACCUGGGAGUCUGGGGCCUACCGGCAGCAGAAGGUGCAGUGGCCAAACACAGAGACAUUUCUAUCAUCAGACCUGGUCCCCAGCCUGACUCUGCUGCCCACUUACCCCUGGCCAGGGCGAGUUCAUCGACUGUGCCGAGCCUGGCUGCUUCUCCAGCCUAACAGGAGUCCCCGUCUCGACAGGACUGAGUGGGGUGAAUGCAGCCAAGUGCUCAGCAGAGACUGUCCCACCGGGAAGUGUUCACAAAUAUGGGCUGUUGAACCUGCUGUUGUUAGAUCUAGAUCCAGUUCUGCGACCACGUUCAUGACUUAGAUCAUAACUGAAGUGCGGGCCAGCCGAGGCCGGGCCGUUUAGGGGUUUGGCUGCUAAUUCAAGAAGGACACCUGGGUUUGGAUCCCAGAGUUCCCUCCAGACCCAGAUGUGGCCUCAGGCAGGUGAUGAGCCUGGAGAUGCGGUUUCAUUUUCUGCAGGGUGGUCAAAGGAGAUCUCAGGCUUGUAGGAGACAAAGCACAUCGCCCCGAACUGCUCAGGAGGCGCAGAUUACAGCCACCCUCCUUAUCCACCCCGUCUCCCAUCACAGCCCUCAUGAGUGCUCAAGCAAGGCUCAGGGCCUGAUGGACGUGGCUGCCUCCUCCUAGAGGACAGGCAUGUCUCGGCUGCCUGCACCAGCCAGCGGCCCUUCUCCCCGGCCAGGAGAUCCUCCAAGGAAGGCCAAGGGCCAAGCAGGUAGGCUAGGGAUGGGCUCUGGUACAUGGGCCCCAUUCCCAUGAUUGGAAACUUCCCAGGCGCCAUUUGUCACCUUGACUCGCUGUUUCAAGCCCGGCUCUCCCUGGGGCGCCAGGAGUGGGCCCAGGCCCUUCCGACAGCCGGCCUGCAGCUGUGCUGGUGACUGAUUGGGGAUGAGGCCACUGUCCCUGCCUUCCUGGGAGCCAGGAUGUUGAUUGAAUGGCCAUUUCACUCUCUCCAACAAGCAAGUAACAGUGUAAACUGGGGUCUAAUUUAUCAAAAACAGUCGCUUGUAUUCUGCGUGGCCCAUGUUCUGGGCUGAAACAGCCGCUACCCAGCUCCUGGCCCACGUGCGUGCGAUUUCCUGAUAUUUCAGUUUUAUGGAAGACAUCUCACUGACGAAUGUCUCUUAGUGAACGAUCAUUCUGGAAGCUAUUUUGCCUUCAAAGAGGCUUCUCCUGGAAUGGGCUGGGAGGGGCGGGCACCGUGUUAUAUAUAAAUUCACUGCCAGGAGCGCCCAGCAGGGGAGGGAAUGAGAUCGGCAGGAGAUGAGAAUGAAAUGUGUGCGGCUGCAGCCAAGCCUGUCCUCCCUGUCACCGUCCGAGGGCUGCUGGGAUGGGCGGGAAGGCCAGAUGUGGGACAGGUGGCCCAAGUGACGCCCCCAGCUUCACCACCUGCCACUGCCUGGCCUUGGGCAGCUCACUCCCUCUGGGAGCCUGGGCUUCUCACGGGGCAUAAUGAUUUACAAAUUGCUGCCACUUCUCUGCUUGCUCUCGACCAUCAUUACACGUCAGGCAGGGCUGGGACUGGAGGCUGAGCUGUGUCCCAGCUACGGGUGACCGUGCCAGAGCUGCCAGGGAUCCUGAGGCACAAUGAGAGCCUUCCUUCCACCCACCGUGCGCUUUCUGCCUGUGAUGUGGCCGAGACAUCGCAGGCUGUGGGGUCCUCAGCGCUCAGGCUCCCUGUACUCUCUCUCCCUGCAUACCUGGACCUCCGUUCUCUCUUGCUGGAGGCCUAGAAAAAGUCCCUGGAAUGAAAUCACUCAGGCUCUGGUGCAGACACUGGCACCGCCUGUCCAGGGGGCCCCGGAUAAGUCCCUCCCACUCUCUGGACUCAGGGGCCAUGUCUGCAAAUGAGGCUGGAAAACGAGAUGGUCCCUACAAGGCCCUCUGGUACCUGGAGGGACUGAGUGUCCCAGCCUGGGCCCUGCAGCAGCCCUUCCAUAUCAUGCAUGCAAGGGACUCUGAAUCCCAACCCCACCAUUAGAAGGGCCGCUGUCAGCCAAGAACAGGAUCGUCAUCCCCUCCGUCCCCUGCACAACGGAGCAUAGCUGCCCCUUUCUACCAUCUUUGUUCUAGGUUGAGGUUCUCAAAGGGGAGUCCCAGGCCAGCAGCAUCAGUCCCACCUUGUAGUGUGCUAGAAAUGCAGAUUCUCAGGCCCCUCUGCGGUCUAUAGAAUUCAGAAGUCAGGUGCUGGGGCCCAGGAAUCUACUUUAACAGGCUGCAUUUUCUGCAGCUGCUGGAGCAGAUGACCACAAACUCAGUGACUGCAGAGUGCACGCGCUCAUCACCUUACAGUUGUGUAGGCUGGGAUCCCACUGGGCUAAGACCAAGGUGUUGGGAGGCUGCGUUUCUUGCUGGAUGCUGUAAGGGAGAAGUCGUUUCCUCGUGUUUUUUUAACUUCCUUGGCCCACGGACCUUCCUCCACCUUCAAAGCCAGCAGCCUCGCGUCUUCUGACCUUCCAUUGUCACAUCGUCAUCUGACCCACGUAAGGACCCGUGUGAUUAGGGUGGGCGCACCCGGGUAAUCUUCCCAUCUCAAAGUCCUUGACUGAAUCACAUCUGCAAAGUCCCCUUUGCUACGUAAGGUCACAUGUUCACAAGAUCCAGGGAUUAGGACUUGGACAUUUUUGGAAGCCCAUUGUCCUGCCAACAGCACAAGACCUCCAGGUGAUCCUGAUGUGUAACGCACAGUGAGAGACAAAUGCUCUGAUGGACCAUCAACAGCAGAACGUAAGCAGGGAGAGGGACCCCGCCUUCCUCCCCAAUCUGGCCCUGUGCCUAGCAAAUUAUAGAACUUUUGUAAGCAAAUGAGUUCAUUUGUGAAUAAAUGAACGACCGGUGAGACGAAGAGCUGGGCGUAGCAGCCACAGGUGGGGCUGCCAAAUAAAAUGCAAGAUGCGUGGUUAAAUCUGAAUUUCAGAUAAAUAACAAGUACUUAUGUUUUUGGGGGUUUUUUUGUUUUUUUGUUUUUUUUUUGAGAUGGAGUCUCGUUCUGUCGCCCAGGCUGGAGUGCAGUGGUGUGAUCUUGCCUCACUGCAAGCUCCACCUCCCGGGUUCAAGUGAUUCUCCUGCCUCAGCCUCCUGAGUAGCUGGGAUUACAGGCAUGUGCCACCAUGCCUGGCUAAUUUUUGUAUUUUUAAUAGAGACGGGGUUUCACCAUGUUGGUCAGGCUUGUCUUGAACUCUUGACCUCAGGUGAUCCACCCGCCUCGGCCUCCCAAAGUGCUGGGAUUACAGGCAUGAGCCACCACACCUGGUAACAAGUAGUUUUUUACUACCAGUGUGCCUCUAACAAUAUUUGAGAUAUACUAAAAAAAAAAGUUGUUUUUUAUCUGAAAUUCAAAUUUAGCUGAUAUCCUGUAUUUUUCUUUGUCAAAUGUGGCUUCUCUAAGCAUCAGUCCAGCCAUGGCCCAGGUGGUGAACCUGGAAAUUCAUUCCUCCCUCCAGAACUCUGUUUCCCUGCUCAGUGUUCUAGAAAGCAUCCCCUUCUCUGGCAAACCCUGUCCAAUCUCUCAGGGAAGAUGAGGCCUCCUUCCUCUUCCUGUCCUCCGUUAAUCGAUAUUCCCACCCCAACCCCUCCUAGAAUUUGGUGAUCUGGGGUCUGAAGUCUUCUACCAGGAGCUCAAGCUGAUGGGCUGAGAAGCCCAGUUCUGACGUGAAUUCUGCACCCCUCCUUCGGGAACAAGGAAGACCCAAGCUUGCUUAUCUCUAGAUCCUGCGGGGGGCUUUUGAGAAUCCCUAGUUUUGAGGCUGUGGGAUGGAGCUGCAUGGGAGAGCCAGGAGGAAGACCCUGGCACAGCACGCUCUGAGUAUGGGGUUGCUGCUGGCCCACCCUGUUCCCUCCACACUCUGGAGGAUGUGGAGUGGACGCCAUCAGGGUGCAGCCAUGCAGAACGGCUGGGUCUGUCCCUGUGUCCUCACGCACAGAGCUCUGGAAGGCAGGCAGACGUCCUCACACAUCUGUGAGCCAAAAGGCAAAAAACAAAAGAAGCAAACAAAAAAAUCCACUCCGAUGUUCUUAUGCUUAUGGGUUCUACAGACUUGCAUAUACAUAAUGUAAUGAAAAUUCUUGAUUUCAUCUUCAGAGACAUAAAUGGAAGAAAAUGUACAUAAAAGAGAGUCCACUUAAACAUGUGAUCCUCUCAAAGGAAGAAAAGAACAGGGCUCACUCAUCCACAUCAACCCGGUGAGGCCCGGACACCCCCCACCUCUUCUGCUUAGAGCCCUAUUAUCCUUUGAUCUCCCUAAUAAUGUGUUUCUUUCCUGGUAAUAGGUUUUCAUCAUCCUCACAGCCUAUUGAUUAGAACUCUUUUCCAGGGUUUUGAGAUAUUGGCUAAAAUAAGGGAUGAAAUGAUUCAGUCUUCAGGUGAUGUUUCAAAGGAGGCGUGUUCGUAAUGUCCUCCCGCGACGAGGGACCUGGCCAAGAGAAACUACGCAGGAGGCCCAGAAGGCAGAGCCUGCUCCAGGUCGGCCUCACUGCUGUCCCUUCUGACCUCUCGACAUUUUGGUUUUGGCAUGGUGAAUGGGGCUACCACAGUGGGCCAGCCAGCAUGACCCCCUGACCAGACCUGGAGGCAGGCAGAGGAAAGGAGAGGGCCAGGGAUGGGUGGGUGGCCGGGUGUGUGCCGUUUGCUGAAGUUGAGGCACUGUGGUUCCUGGAAUCCUCAGCCCAGGGACUUCUAAGACACAUCUCUAAGACACAAACAAGAUCUACACCUCUAAGAGGGAAGGAAUGACCGGCCCAUCGCAGGCUGUCUUCGACUGUUGGGGCUCCCAUGACAAAAUGCCAUAGACUUAGGGGCCGAUGAACAACAGCCAUUGGUUUCCCACAGUUCUGGAGGCUAGAAGUCCAAGAGCAAGGCUCCAGCAGAACGUCUGGUGAGGGCCGCUUCCUGAUUCAUAGACGGCACCUCUUUGCUGUGUCCCCGCCUGGUAGAGGGCUGAGGGAUCUCCCUCAGAACUCUUUUAAAAGGGCACUCUCCUCAUUCACCAGUGUUCCACCCUCAGGACCUAAUCACCUCCCAAGGGCCCCACCUUUUAAUACUAUUUAAUACCAUUGCAUUAAGGAUUAGGUUUCAACAUGUGAAACUGCAGGACACACACACUCAGCCCAUAGCAGAUGCCCUGAAGGGGCUGUGAAGUGUCGUGAGUAGAGCCCCAGGAAUGGAGGGUUCUGGAGGGGCACAUAGGUCCAACAGAGCGCAGGCAUAAGGUGGGAAGCCAGAGGGGGCUGUGUGGGCCGGACUGGGUCAAAUCAGGAGGCCUGGAGAUGCCUGGUGAGGAGCCCCGGUCCCACGAUGUAGGGGGCCUGUCGGCACAGGAGUGUAGGCCACGGGCUUGUGGGCAGCCUCCCUCAGGAGGGUGUGGGGCUGAUGAGCAGGUGUGGGCGCAGGUGCAUGCAUCAGGACGUGUCCCCUGCGGAAGCAGCUCCUGUAGGAUCACCUCCUCCACCAGCGACCAGGAAGGACAUUGCAUUUAGACUCUAGGUGAGUCCAGCUUCACUCAUCGCCAGCUGAGGCCUCAUUUUCUCAUCUCUAAGACAUAAACAACCACCCCCUCUUCCCAGGAACACACACACACACGCGCGCGCACACACGUGGUUCUGCGGCUCAUAACUAAAUGUAAUGAAAGGUAAACUAAAGUGCCCCUCCAUGGAAAUCGACCCCAAUUCAGCCUCUAAUCCUGAGAUGCAAGAUUCAGAACCAGUAUGUCAAGGAAAAGUGUUUCUCUGCAUUGAUCCUCGAGGAUACUAAAUGUAUAUUUUAAAAAAUAAAUUCUGUCCCAAGUGUUUGGUGAGACAGAGAGAGAAGCAGCCGCUUCUGAAGUGAGCACAAGGACGUGGCUUUUCUGGAGGCUUCCUCAUUGCAGGACCCAUCCAUCACCUUCAGGGGUUCGAUGAAACCGUUGCAAAUAUGAUCAAUCAUCUUUUUAUUGAAUUAAGACAAAUGGCUGGUUAUUAAUAGGCUAAGACUUAAUGAGGAAAAUGGAUAAUGCCGCACAGGGAAAAGGCAAAGAACUGUGCACACAGCCUCUGCACUUUUUCUAGAAAGAUCUGGAAGUGUCUUCAGUGAGAAAAGCCCCGGGCUGGAUGACCUCUUUGAUUCACACUAAGGACUCAAGGAAGCAAAAACUCCUAGGUUGACCCUUUCUCCACCACCUUCUAUCUGUGUGAUCUUCAGGCAGUGACUUGACCUCUCUGAACUUCUGUCUCUUCACAAAGGUGCUUGGCUUAUGAUGUUGUGCCUGGCAGACGCAGACUGAGAGAAGCAGAGUCCUGGCCUCCAAAAUCUGAGUUGUGUGUGGGACAGAAUGGUGUGCUUCACCUGCGGUUCUGAGGGGGCCGGCGGGAUCAGAUGCUGGCACAGGACAUGGGAAGGGGGUGCGUGUGGGGCAGAGCCGUGCAGCAGGUGCACAGCUGUGCAAGGUCCCCUGAUGGGCCCUCUCUGCUCCAUGUUUCCAGAAAUCCUUGGAAAGGAGCUCAAGUGGCACAGUAUCUGGAGCGUGUUGUGGACUUGGUUGGGAUGCCUGGUGUCUGUUUAUGGCAGCACUUCUGGGGAAACAGAUUGUGUUUAUGUCAGAAAGAAAAGACCAUGUUUCGGGGCAAUCCCUGCAGCUCGUUAGGUCAAAUCAACACCCCCAGCCCAUCUGCCUCCGCAGGGUGCCUCGGCCCCACUCAGUGCCGGCAGACAGGAGCCUCCCAGGGAGCAGCCGAGCUCCAGGGCGGGGGAGCCACCACCGAGCACAAUAGCCAAUCAGCCCCUUCCUAGAAGCAAGUCAGGCUGCCCGGCGUGCUUUCUGUCUGUCGUUCCUGCAGCCUCCACGGGCACCGGCCCAGGUGGUCCCUGGCUGGAUGGUCAGAACUCAGAGCUGUGAGCUGUGGCUGCUGAUUCCCUCCUGAACAACAGGGUCUAGGGAGACAGGCAGACACAGAAACCUCAAGUGAAGUGGGGGCUGCGGGCUGGGGGUGCUGCACGGGGCAGUCAGGGGCACAGCAAAGAGGACGUGACCUCAGGUCCUCGGCAGCAGGGAGGGAAGGCAUGGAGUACAUGCUUUCCUCUGGGAAACACUCAUAUCCGAUUCACAUGAUAUUGUCCGCAGUGCUGAGCCUGGCAGACCUACAUCUUCAUCUUUUUGGUGCGUUAAUGAGGAUUUUUAUUUCUUCUUUAAUGAUUAAUUCCUAAAAUUAUAAUACUUAUGUGAAUAGUACCAAUGCUUAAUAUUUUUGAUAAAAAUUUAAAAAUUGAGCUCCAAAAGGGAUUCACCAAUUAAUAUUUCCAUCAUCAUUAUGCAGAAGUUGCUAUUUACUCACAUCCUUAAUUAUAGAGGAAAGUAUCAAUGAAUGUUUACCAAUUUAAUGACUCAAAUAUUUUCAUAUCUAUAUUUCUCCAUUAUUAGUGACAUUGUGCACUUUUACUUAUGUGUAUUGACGAUUUGUACUUUUACUCUGUGAAUUUCUUUUUCUCUUCUUUUUUUCAACUUUUAUUUUAGAAUUGGAGAGUACAUGUGCAGGUUUGUUAUGAAGUUAUAUUGCGUGAUGCUGAGGUUUGGAGCAUGAGUGAAUCUGUUACCCAGGUACUGAGCAUAGUACCCAAUAGGUAGUUUUCUUUCUACCUUGCCCCCAGGAGUCCCCAGUAUCUAUUUUUCCCAUCUUUGUGUCCAUCUGUACCUAAUGUUUAUCUCCCACUUACAAGUGAGAAAACGUGGUAUUUGGUUUUCUGUUCCUGCAUUAAUUUGCUUAGGAUAAAAGUUUCUAGCUGCAUCCAUGUUGCUGUGAAGGACAUGGUUCCAUUCUUUUUCAUGGCUGUGUAGUAUUCCACGGUGUCUGUGGGUUUUUUUUAAAGGUUGUUUUUGAAGAAUACUUGACAACAUGGAGAAAUUCUCAAUGCGUGAAAAAAAAGUAAAAGGAAAGUAAAAGGGAACAGAAGUAUAUAUAAAGCAUGUUCCAAUAUUGUCCAAAAAUAUUAUUAUUGAUUAUCUGGGAGAAGUUUAUGGGUAUUUAUGCUUUUUUCCAUCUUUGAAAAAUACUCUGAGAAUAUGCAUUAGUUUUAUGAGGAAAGUGCAUGUUAUAAAGCCUAAAGAUGAAUUGUGUCUCCCCACAAAAGAUAGGUUGAGGGACUCAGCCUGUGGCCUGAUUUGGAAGCAGGGUCACUACAGAUGGAAUUAGUUGAGGUGAGGUCGUCCUGGAGUAGGUGAACUCCAAUCCAAGAUGACUCAUGUUUUUGCCAG